rnacentral:tRNA from 1 species
UGGCUGAUGGUGUAAUUGGUAACACGUCUGCCUCUGGAGCAGAAGACUCUAGGUUCGAGUCCUAGUCGGCCAGCCA